rnacentral:snRNA from 1 species
GGAUGUGAGGGUGAUCUGGCUGUGACAUCUGUCACCCCAUUGAUCCCCAGGGUUGAUUCAGCUGAUCUGGCUGGCUAGGCGGGUGUCCCCUCCCUCCCUCCCCACUCCAUGUGCAUCCCUCCCAAAGCUACGUGCUCAGUUGAAGAGGAUGACCAUCCCCAACAGAGGAGAACCGUUCUUUGGUCGAGGGUAUACAAGUAGCUGUGCUCCCCUGUUAGAACCUCCAAACAAGCUCUCAAAUAAAUAAACCUUAAAAAAUAAUAAUAAAACUUAAAUUUAAAAAAAAGAA